UGCCAGACAGGGAAACUGCGUACGGCUCAUUACACCAGCCUUAAUUUACUUGACCUUGACAACCUACUUGGAUAACUGUGGUAAUUCUAGAGCUUAUACAUGCACCAAAGCUCCGAUCCUCGCGGAGAGGAGCGCAUUUGUUCGCCACAAAACCAAGCGCCCAUCUGGGCGUCCAGUGCUGAACCAGAACAACUCAGCUGAUCGCACGGUCUUGUACCGGCGACGUGUCUUUCAAGUGUCUGCCUUAUCAACUUUCGAUGGUAGUGUACCUGACUACCAUGGUUGUGACGGGUAACGGAGGAUAAGGGUUCGACUCCGGAGAAGGGGCCUGAGAAAUGGCCACUACGUCUAAGGAUGGCAGCAGGCGCGCAAAUUACCCACUCUCAACGCGAGGAGGUAGUGACGAGAAAUAACGAGACCGUUCUCAUACGAGGCCGGUUAUUGGAAUGGGUACAAUUUAAA
rnacentral:rRNA from 1 species